CAAGGUCAUAUCAUGCCAUCAUCCCCAUCCUUCCAAAGUGGUCAUUACCCAGUCUCUAAGAAUCUAGAUCUUCAAGAGGGCAUUUGAGGGAGCCAGCCUUUGGAAGUCCAAGGAUUUUGAUGGUGUGGAAAACUUCAGAAAAGGUCUCCUUUGGUCCACAACAAGACGGGACAAUGAGAAGCAAGCAGUGACUAUUUAACUGAAACACCAUUCUCUUCCCUUUCCACAUUCCUGACCCAUCAGAGCAUUGACUGCAAUGGACGGCAGG